rnacentral:lncRNA from 10 species
CACAUCGUGAUGCUUAUUUUAUCCAGGAGUUCUAGGUAAGACCACUUUUUCAAAUAUCCUCUGAACGUUGACUUAGGUGCACACACCUGUGCUUCCAUUGGCAACAAAAGCUUUGAAUGCACAGGACUUCCACGGCAUGAAAUGCAUUUACAUACAUUACAUAAGAGAGAAGCAAUGAGCAAGUCUGUUGCUGGGAGAGGCUCACAUCCUUCUCACCAAAUCAAUCUGUAACUUUCAAAUAGCUCUGCUGUAUUUCCUAGCAACAGGAGUAAACACUGUACUACAUCCAGUGCCCAAGAUUUGUAACCACGUUAAUCUGUUAGAAGCCUAGAUGUGUGACUGGAGAUGCCUCCUGUCCAUUCAAUCUGACUCCAAUGUGGUUCUGCAGCACUGGACAAAGAUGGGAGAUUGAAACAGGAGCCCCUGCGAUGGGGGAACAGAGCCAGGGAGCAGGGGUUGGACAGAACCCAGGUUUGAGAAAACAACCUUGUGAACCUUCUAUUGGAGCAGCAAUAAAGAUCUGAGCUAAGUGUCGAGGGAGGCUGAGGAGGUGGUCACUAAGUCUGUCUUAGGCAUCCCAGGGUCUCCUCAGAGUCCAAGCCUGAAGUCCACUGCAGGGGUCACCAGCCACCUGUGGCCACAUUGGAAUGUGGCCAUUCUGAAUUGAGCUUUUAAAACAGAUUUUUUAACCUGGAGUCCAAGGAGUCCCAGGAAAUCCACAGACGAGAUUCAAUGGAUCCUUGAAAUCCCUAAAAUUAAAUACAAAGCGGGGUAUGUGUGGACAUCUUUUCUCUUCAAGGAAAGAAUCCAUAGCUUUCAUAUGAUGCUCUUAAGACUCUCAGACUGAAAACAGUUUAAGAACUAUUGAGUUUCUGUGGCUUCCAAAGUGUUUAGCUCCUUCUAUUUAUCUAUGGAAUAGCUCUGUGAAUGACUCUCAAAACCAAGCUUUUCUGUGCCUCCUCAAGAGGCCUGCAUUUUAUAUGCAGCAGUACAACUUCCUUCCAUAAGACGCUUUUAUUUUCUGGCAGCAGCAGUAUCACAGGAAGAUGACUGGAAUUUAUAAGAUUGAUGACCAAAGAAGGCAGCUAUAAUGUUUUAUUCUCAAGAUGAUGGUUACUCAUCUUAGAAUAAAAACAACAACAACAAAAAAUAACAGAUGAAUGGGAAGAGCCCAAUCAAAGCUUUAUUCUACUCCUCAACAACUCAGAAAGAGCAAGCAGGCAGCGGUGAGGAGGAUGGAUUGAAAGCUGAGAGACUGAAGGCAGCAUUUGUAGAGGAGUUAAGCCUAAAGCUGCAGAUGAAAAUUUUGCCACCAUGAAGAAAAGAAGAAAUCAGAAUUGGAUUCUUUCUGAACUUUUCCUUUACAGUAGCCAGUAUAUGCCCUUUCCUACUUGAGCAAGUAUAAACUGGGUUUCUGUGAUUUGCAACCAAGUGUCCUGACAAACACAAGGAUGAAAGACAACUGUGUCUCAAUAAAGGAAAAAUAGUUUAUUUUUAUGAGUGGUGGAUUUAAAAAACCUACAUUACUGUGACAAGAGUACCUUAAAACAUUUAAGUCUACAAAAGGCACUUAGGGACUUUAUAGCAAACUCUACACUUAUAAUGAAAAGCCAGACCAGAUCAUUUUAAAAAAACGUUACUGCACGAGAUAAUGGCACAUCCACUCGUUCAAUUAACAUUUAUUGAGUGUCUUCAGGGGUUUUAGACUUGUGCAAUAAAAAUGAUAAAAACGUAUUCUUUGGUUUGAGCUGGUCCAUCCAAGGUCGUUCCAUAAAGAGCAGCUGUGUAUGCUGUUCAGACUAAUUGUGUGAAGCUGGAGAGGCCAGGUGUUUCUGUCUGGCCCAGCAGCUGCACUUUGCGGUAAGGGCACCACCUGAAUUUCAGUCUGGCCAUAAAAUGAGGCUGAAGAAACAGCACCUUGCAUGAGCUUUUAGGUGAAAGGCAGAACAG